rnacentral:rRNA from 15 species
GAACUGUUUUCUGCUCUGGACCAUGUACAAGUCUGUUGAAAUGCAGCAUCAUUGAGGGUGAGAAUCCUGUUUAUGAUAUGGACUACCAGUGCUCUAUGAUACAGUCUCUAAGAGUCGAGUUGUUUGGGAAUGCAGCUCAAAGUGGGUGGUAAAUUCCAUCUAAGGCUAAAUAUUGGUGAGAGACCGAUAGCAAACAAGUACCGUGAGGGAAAGAUGAAAAGAACUUUGGAAAGAGAGUUAACAGUACGUGAAAUUGUUAAAAGGGAAACAGUUGAAGUUAGACUUGUUGUUGUUGGUUCAGCUCUUUAAGGGUGUUUUCUGAUAAUUAACAAACCAACAUCAAUCUUUGGGUGUUGGAUAAGGGUCAUUGAAAUGUAGCAGUCUUGGCUGUGUUAUAGUCAUUGACUUGGAUACAAUGCCUAGGAUUGAGGAUUGCAGUAAGCCAUUUAUUUGGUGGGACAAUU